CUAUAAAUACCUGUCAAUUUUUUACUUAUCCAUAAAAAACUCAAAAAUAUAAACUUUUUUUUUAUAUCAAAAUGUUUGUAAAAAAAAAAAAAAAAACACCAAAGAUUAUACAAAAACUAAUUCCAAAAUAACGAGCAAAAACAAAAAAAAAAAAAUCAAAAAAAUCAAAGAAAUAUAAAAAUUUAACAAAUUAUAAAGUUGAGCAUGGAAAGCUCAUAAAAUGAUAAGGGACAAAACCCUUGACUUGGGCAGUUCUAGGUCAACAACUACUUGUACAAAAAAAAAAAAAAAACAAAUUUAAAAUGCGUUUAGACAUCACAUUAUAUAUAAUUAGUUAUAUGGGAACGAAGGAGCCAAACUUGUGUCUCGAGCUGAUACAAUAUGGUUCACAAGGCCAACGUUGUUUACAUGAUUUCCAUCAUUCUAUUGCUAUUGUUCUCAUCCAAAUUAGUCUUUGCCAACGUUUCUGAAAAUCAAAAGCACGUCACUGCAGAUGUAGUAGAAAAGAUCAUCAGCAGGUCGCAUCUGCGUAUUGUGAGAAAGAUUCCCGUACCAAAUCCUUAUAAUCGUGGGCGAUCGCCACGACCACCAGUGCCAGUACAUAGAACAAAAAAUUAGGGGUGUGCAUUAAACCGAUCGAACCAUAUGUAAGUUGGUUUACUUGAUGAAGUUUUUAUGUUCCGAUAAACUUUUUUUUUUGAUAGAAUUGAAACGUGGGAGAAGUGUAGAUGUUUUGAAAUAUAUAAACUUUUCAAAUGUUAGACGCUUUUUUAUUGAUGUGUUGGAAAAUGCUUAAACCGGCUCAAUCCAAAUUUCAUUUUUACCUAAUCCUUUUGGAUUUUUCUUUUUUUGUUUUGCAGCUUGUUUUGCAGGUUCUUACCUUUUAAGUUUUAUUUUAGAGGGGUUUGAUACUAUGUCCGCCUCUCUCUUUUUCUUGUAUUUUCUUUUUCAAGAGGGGUAAAGUCUAUGUCUUCCCUUUUUCUUUUUCUUGUAUUUUCUUUUUCAAAAGGGAUAAGGUGUAUAUCCCUUCCUGUUUUCUUGUAUUUUGUUGUUCUUGCUUUAUGAAGAAUAAGGUUUAUGUCCCUCA